AUCGAUGGAAAUAUUUCGAACCCCAAUUGGAUAAAAAAAAAAAAAAGGUCCUACCGAUGAUACAAAAAUAUUCUAAAUCAAGAGUUUCCCCAUACAUUAUAGCGUUAAAUGUUGAAAAAAAAAUUGAUUACCAGCAUCGAAAAAAAAAACCGGAAUAAAACGUUUGCGCGGAAAAAUUUCUGGCUCAGAUUAAUAAACAAAAUACCCC
rnacentral:lncRNA from 1 species